rnacentral:tRNA from 1 species
GCGGGCCUAGCUUAAUGGUAGAGCGCCAUCUUCCCAGAUGGAGGAACGGUUCAAUUCCGGAAGCCCGCUCCA